rfam:Ovis aries breed Texel chromosome 9, whole genome shotgun sequence.
UGGCUCAGAGGUUAAAGCGUCUGCCUCCAAUGCGGGAGACCCGGGUUCGAUCCCUGG